GUACCCUAAUUUGUUUAUCCAGUCAACGGUUGAUGAACUUGUGGAUUGUUUCCAGUUGUCAGCUACACAGCCUCCUGGUGCCUUCAUCCUCCUGCUGCUAUCUGGGACCCACUGCUCUCUAAAUGAAUCCUUAGCUGUGAUCCCAGACAUCCACCUGCCAUCAUCCUUGGAGCUCCCUUCCCUACUGCCCUGAAGUGGGUUUUCCAUUCCUUGGUUUACCUUCCCGUUUUGUUGGAACACCUCCUCCAGUAACUUCCUGAGAAAGGGUCUGGAGGUGAGCGUUCCAAGAUCAGUAAGGAUUCCAAGCUGCCGGAGACUCCAGUUCCUGUCUUGUUGCUCCACCAUCCCUCGGGCAUGGCCCUUGUCUGAAUGAAUACUUGACCACAUGGGUGGAUGGAUGUUCCAGCCAGGAGGACUGAGAUGAGAAGACUGAGCCCCAGGGAAGCGACGAGGCUCUCCUGAGGACCCAGGGCUGGAGAGCCACAGAGAAGGCACUUGAACCGGAUCUGGGCGUCUGGGGCCCUUACUGGUUCUGCCUCUACUGAUUCUGAAGGCUGACUCCUCUACGUCCUAACAGUUACCUCUUCAGAGGGGCCUUUCCCGGCCACUCCUCCCACGUAAGUCCCCUGCGUCA